rnacentral:rRNA from 1 species
UCCUGGCUUAGGACGAACGCUGGCGGCAUGCUUAAUACAUGCAAGUCGAACGGGAUAUUGAGGGCUUGCCCUUGAUAUCUAGUGGCGAACGGGUGAGUAACACGUGAGCAACCUGCCUAUCACACAGGGAUACCAGUCCGAAAGGAUUGCUAAUACCGGAUGAGAUCACGGGACCGCAUGGUCCUGUGGUAAAAGCUCAGGCGGUGGUAGAUGGGCUCGCGGUACAUUAGCUAGUUGGUGAGGUAACGGCCCACCAAGGCGAUGAUGUAUAGCCGACCUGAGAGGGUGAUCGGCCACAUUGGGACUGAGAUACGGCCCAGACUCCUACGGGAGGCAGCAGUAAGGAAUAUUGGGCAAUGGGGGCAAACCCCCUGACCCAGCAAUGCCGCGUGAAGGAAGAAGGUUUUCGGAUUGUAAACUUCUUUUAUAUAGGACGAAUGGAUGACGGUACUAUAUGAAUAAGCCCCGGCUAACUACGUGCCAGCCGCGGC